AUACCAUGAUGUGGACAUCGUCGUAAUAGCUCCUUGUACCUCUCUCAAGCCUCAUACAAAGUCUCUGAAUCUUAUUGCAUGAAUGAGGUAAUGUCAUUCCUCAUCUU